UACGGAGGGUGCAAGCGUUGUCCGGAUUUAUUGGGUUUAAAGGGUGCGUAGGCGGUAAAUUAAGUCAGUGGUGAAAUCCAGCAGCUUAACUGUUGAAUUGCCAUUGAUACUGAAUUACUUGAGUGAAAACGAGGUAUGCGGAAUUUAUGGUGUAGCGGUGAAAUGCGUAGAUAUCCGGAGGAACACCGGUGGCGAAGGCGGCUUCCUGGACCGAUUACUGACGCUGAGGCGCGAAAGCUAGGGGAGCAAACGGG
rnacentral:rRNA from 1 species